CUGCAUUAAAGAAAGAAACAUUGAUUGUCAUUUACAGAAAACAUUCAAAAAUCAUGUGUGCAUUAAAAUGAAAUGCUAACAAUACAGUAAACUAAUAAUUUACAGGACAUGAGACAAAAUCUAUUACAUUCUAAAAUAACAUGGAACCUUAGCGUUUUAAAAGGAAAUGUUGGUCCAUGAGAACAGAACAAAAAGAGUAAACAAAAAAACUCCCAAUACCCCACAUGUAUAACUUUAUGUUUAGCAGAUUUUUUUAAAACUAAAUAAACAAAUGGGGAGAAUUGGAGAUUUUUUAUCAUGUCACAUUUCUGUGUUUUUGCCCUUCUCAGGCAAACACAGGGCAGUAGAAAUACACUAUAUUACAUUUACGUUCUGCAAAAAAGAAUUUAUGUGACUGUACAUGACAUACUUACAGAACUCAUUCUUUUCAUACAAAGUUCGAAGAGCAAUAUUUCUGUACAACUGAUGUCAGGCAAUGGCGUUUCCUUAACUAAACAUCUACACUCCUGAGAUGCAGAAAAUGGUGGCUAGGCCAUUUGUUUGUCCUUCAUAUAUCCUUCAGCAGUCUAAUCCUGCAGUUCACACUGACUAUGAACCCAAUGAUGGGCUGAUGACAUGUUUAAGCACCCUUAGUAACAGGAGCUGACAACAGCAAUAGGGUCAGAUGUUUAGCUAUGAGUAAAGAUUAAAGUAUAGCAUGGGCCCCCAUAGCAAAUUAACAAUAGAGAACUCACAUGAACAAAAGCACCAAUAAACAGUACAUACGACAUAUAUGAAUUUGUUAACUUAAGAUUUAAAGGUGCAGGUCUUCUGGUUAAAAACAAAAACAAGAUUUAAACACAAAGAAGUAUAGCAUGCUUAAAAAUAUACAAUCUCCUGCAUUUAUGAUGCCUAUAGCACCUGAUAUAGGUGAAAUCUUAAAUGGCAAAAUGAGGUAAAAACAAAACAACACAUAUUUCGUGACCACCCAGGUCUUAUUUUCAGCAAUAGCAUAUAAAAUACAAUUACAAAGCAGACCAGAACAUUUCUGAAUCCUCGGUCUCUACCAAACCUGUGUUUUCUUCUCUCCCCAUAGAAGAACAUUCCUUUUUGUCUUUAGGAACAUUGGAAAUAUAUACAUUUUAUAUCUGUACCCAGAGAGGAAGCAGCAGUUAUGAAAAUAGUUUCACUACUGAGGCAUUGCAAGAGUUAACUUCUCACAAUGGAGCUUACAAACCAUCUGGAGAAAGUGGUAAAUAGAGAAACCAAUUCAAGGCUGUAAGAGGAAGCAUAAAAAGUCAUUUGAAACACAAAGCCCAGAACAAGAAUGCAUAUGUGUCAGCAGGGUACGCUAGUCUGCACCUUUAUAUUUCUAUAUUAAUUGAGACGUAAUGUAAAGUACAAUAAACAGGGGUGAACAGCAGGUGUGUAGAGAGGCAUUUUCUCUUAUAAAACAUCUAUAAACCUUGAAAUUCAAAAGAACUCUAAAAACAGUCAAGCACUUUAUGCAAUGAUACAUUAAGUGAAUAUUAGUGUUUAAGAUUACUAACCCUCAUUUUACAGAGCUUUCUUUUUUUUUUUUUACAGAAUCCUAUUUCACACAUUUCUAGAAAAGCCCGCAUUCUGGAAUUACGGAGUUGUGCUUUUUCUUGUUGUAAACUCAACCCAGAUAUAAUGUGAUUGCCUGAUUUGUUGGCAGGGUUAACAUUAAACUUGUGCUACGCCACAUAGGAACAUAUAUAGUUAUUUCUAAAAUAGGCCACCAAUAUAUUUUAGAAACAGCAAUGACUGAAAGGAGCUUAUCCUUCAGUAAUUUCUAGAAACUGUCUCUGCCAGAAAAAAAGAAAGGGGUCUUUCAGUUUUUAAAUGAAAUAACUAAAUAAUAAAUGCUUUGAUUUUUAAACAGUAAUAUUCUUUUAAUAAUGCUUGUUCAGAGAAAACUUAAGCACAUUUUCUGUUCUCUCUUGUAAAAUACUGUAGCCACUGUAACAAUUUCAUCUCAUUAAAGAGUGCUUUCGUUCUUUCCCUCCAUUCAGUGUUAAACAAUUUUCAAGCAGUUUAACACUAAAUAAGGGUCCCUGGCCCAAACAGCCCAGCACACACUGGAGGUAUGGCUAAGGCAGACAUGACACUCUUCAUUCUAGCCAUACCAAUUCAUACCAACAAUUGGCACUGUUAGAAGCUGAAUGUGGUCAGCUGACACUGCAAGACAAUCAUAACUGCUGUUAAGGCUAAUACUUUCUCAUUACCUCAAGCAGCACAGAGUGAACGGGCUGCUGAGAACUCUCGUUUAGCAAUAAACAUUAAAAACUAUUUAACAAUUAAUGGAAGGACAGAGCCAGGGGACUCCAGACACUAUAACCACUUUAAUGGGAUGAAGCUGCUACAGUGUCCCUUUAAAGACAUAAUAUUGUGGCUUAAAAUGAACUGUGGUUGAGAACCAGCUUGCAAACGUUUGGGCAAAUUAUUUGUGUUGGAAAAAUGCUCUAGUUCAGAUGUAUAUAUACUAACUAAGACCAUUUUGUUCUUAAGUUUGCAAAUCACUUGUCCAACUUAUUCAACACAUGUACUUCACUGACUAAACUAUCUUGUUAUUGCACAAUAACGUGAAGCAGAGUAAACAUUUUUCAAUUGUAUUUUCCUAGCAAUGGGUUUAUUUAUUAAGCACGGAAUUGUAGUGAAUUGAAAACCGAAGGGUAGUUACAGCUUGGCUAUUUUUGCAUAAAUUUAGCAAUUUGAUUUCUGUUGCACUACAAUCCAAUUGUUACUGAAUAAACCCUAACACACAGACAUAAAAUGCAAAUAUAGUUAUUUUGAUUAAGAAGAAACACAAAUGUAUGAGUUGUUUAAAAGAUAUGAACCACGGUUGCUUUACUGAUUAUUUUAUAGAAAAAUAUUAACUGUUCUUUGUGGAGUCUUUGACCCCAAGUCGCAAUAUUUACCAGAUGUAUUUAGUAAUUAAAUUUUUUAAAAUAGCAACAAUAUUUGAUUCUCUUCUACAUUAUAUACAAUUGGUAAUUACUUUAAAGACAAAUCUCCCUGUCAUGUAAUAAAUAUGUUCAAUAUACUGUUUUGUUUUUUUUUUUAUAAAAUAGUUGCUCAAUGUUGUCAUCACUUUUAGUGUAUAUAUGUAUAGUGUUCAUUAGCUGUUUUAUUUUUCAUUAAAAAUCUAAUAUGGCUUUAGGAAUUAGCCAGUAAAUAAGCUGGCCAGAAAGAUAUAGCUCAGAGAAAGCAUAUUUUCAUGGACAUCAAAAUAAAUACAAAUAUUAAAGUGGACUAAUGAGUUACUAAGCUAUUUGAUGCAGAAAAUUAUUAUUAUUUUUUUAUACUGACGAUAACGUAAUGUUUUGUUAUUGUAUUACAUAUUAAAGAUAAAAUGGUGGUGAUGUUGAUUGUUACAGAUGGAAGGGGGUUUAUCUUCUGGUUAUUUGUUGGAGUUAAACUGAUAUUUGCAAUGCAUUCCCUGCGCUAUGUUCCGGGAAGUUUCCUCGAACAUAGAUUUGUGGGAUUCCCUGUGCUAGUGAACUGGUCUAUUUUUGGAGUAAUUCCCCCAAACGUAGACCUGCUCUCUAGCGCAUUCACACUUACCAACCAAUUCAUUUUACGACUUGGUUGUAAGAACGUAACCCAGUCGGUAAGUGAGGAAUACCUGUACAUGCUCUAAAAAGCAGUCACCAUGUUCCACAGGAGAUUAUAGACUGAACAUAGGGUUUUUAUUAUAUAUCCCAUUAUGGUCAAAUAGAAAAUAGACACUCAAAAUCCUCAUGAGAUUAUUGCAUCUAUUGCCAUGGAAUAUGAAUGACCAGUGGUGAACAAUUUCUAAGGAGCAGCAUGAAGUCAUUGCACCUGUAAUUAAAAUGUCAUCUAAUUUAAUUGACUGUUACUCCUUUAGGUUUAACACAGAAUGAAGUCCCCUGGCCACACACAGUAUGACUCCCACUGGAUGUAUGGCAGAAAUUACACACUUCCUUAUCCAUACAAACUUAUAUGAGCAAUGGGUAGCUGUGAUGGGCUGAAAGCAGUCAGUUGACAUUGUCCGCCGAUCACUGCUACCCAAUGCUUUCUCAAAAGAUCAAUAAACAUAGAGUUGAUAUGUUGCUGGAAACUCUUGUUCAGCAUUAAACAAUUAAAAUGGUUUAAUACUGAAUGGACGGAUAACACCAGGGGACUCCAAACUCUUUAAGCAACAGAAUAAAGUGGUUACAGUGACUAGAGUGUCCCUUUAAUCUAUUUGUUUAUGUUGCAUAUGUACAGCUAAAUUUAAAAUGGAAAACACAUCUUCAUCAUCUGAUCAAUUAGUUUUUGAUCACAAUGUAAUAUCCUAUAGCAACAUUUAUCAUUUAGUUUGCAUCUUCAAAAUAUUUCCUAUAUUAUUCUGUAUUAUCUUAAAUAAGAAAGUAGCAUGGGCAAUUUAGUGGACAUUGUAUAAACAACAUUUAAACAUACAUCUUUAUAGAAACUAAGACACAUUUUCUCAGCAAUAAGAAACACCUGUGUAUUAUCCAGUCUUCAACAUCACUUACAUAAUGAUAUAAUAAUUAGGGUUCCAUACAAGCAGUAGAUACAAUAGCCACAGCUCCCACAGGGGACUACAGUGGAAACAAUAUAUCUCAGUGGACUGGACUUAAUAUGGAGAUUUGAUCAUGGCGUUAUAGUGGGGCAAGACCUAAAAUAGGGUGAUUAAAUAUUGCCAGCACCAGAUUAAAAAAUAUGGCCUUUUUAUUCAUAUUAGAAAAAUCUUUGGGUUUAUAAAUACUUUUUAAAUUUCCACUGAGAGAUAUACAAGGGGCUCUUUGCUACAUAAAGCUACUGUUUAAGACACUAUAUUUAACAUUGCUUAUUAGAUAUGGAGUCACAUCUAACCUGUUUUUCAUGCUGAUUAAAAACUUUAUUUCACAUUGUGAGAUGUUUUCACCUUGAUUAUAGUGUAACAAUGCGCCCCCAGGUUAAUAUUUGGAGUCAACAUGGUAGUAUUGAUAUUAGAGAGAUAGGAAAGGAUAGAUUCAAGUUAAUGACCAGACAGUGCCAAUCACCACAAUUUAUUGCUACAGUAAAGCUUUUUGGUGCUAAAGGCUAUGGAUCAAUGCUAAUCUAACAAUGGCUAAUCCAGUACUGAAGAAAGUAAGGUCACAUAAAAUGUAUUCGUUCUUAGAAAACAUUAGAGCACACAUUUUUUAAUCCCAAAUAUUGAUCACAAAUAAUACGUUUGUGUAUAAAAAAGCUGGAAUAAAUGAUCACGUGAAAAUGGCUAAAUAACAACAGGUGUGUAUGUUGACAUCUAGAUUUUGUUAAAUUACGAAAUCUUAAUUCAAUUGUAUGUUUUACAGAAAUAAAUGUAAUAAUUGCAUUAUUAGACUGAUUACAUGUAUAGAAUGAAACAGGAUUCAUUCUUCUGUCUCAAAACUUAGUGGUACCAAAUAUAUAACAGAAUAAGGCAGAGGUUAUGCAACUUCCAUUUAGGUUUUCAAGUCACACAGACCCUUUUGAAAUACUCAUUUUAUUAGUGGGUCGCUGUUUCCAUAAAUUGAUAGAUUUAAUGGAAAUGGAAUAGCACAUUGUAUCUGAAAAGAAUAUAUUUAAUUUGUUAUCGGUACUUCUAAAAUUCUUCAUAAAUGAUUACAAAGGCAUGCUUAGCACUAUCAAUAAGGAAUUAUUUGAUCAAUACAUUUAUAAAAAUCAUAUGCUGGUGAAUACAACUGUAAUUGGACACACAGUUUAAUUGAAGUUGUGCUUUGUUGUCUAUUGCCUACAACUAGUUAUGUAUAGUCCUAUAUAGAAGAGAAAUGUAUUAUGUGGGUUUACAUCAACUAGCAAAUUGCAAAUGGUUGGUCCUUUAGUAUUGGAAUGGAGGCGGACCUGUUUAACUCCAAAAUUAAUGUCAUGGGACUCUGGGUGAAUUAUCUGACAUCAAAUAGUAGACAGAAGCAUAUUUUAAAAGGGGAUUAACUGUCUAGAUUGCUUGUGUGUGUGCGUUUCUAUUUUUAUAUGUCAAGAAUUCAUACUUGAUCAAAAUACAUUUUCUGUAUGCUUUGUUAUCAUAUUCUCAAAACCAUAAUUAUUUAACGUACUGAAGAGUUUGAAAAAAGCUAAAAACUGCAUUGCGUAUAAUGCCCAGUACAGGCUGACAAAAUAAUCCCUUCGUUUCUGAUUUGUUAAACUCGCAGUCUAAUCAAAACAGAUAUAAGUGCUUUUAUGAGCUGGGUUUUAAAGCAGACCAGCCUUUAAGGUAUAGUCUGCUCUCUGUAGUGGCCCAUCUGUUCAUGUCAGCUGUCUAAUCCUUUUUGAAGGCUGUUAAUACAGUUUUGACAUAAGAAUACCAAAUUAGAGAAAAUAAGGAUAAAAAAAAAUGAAGAUAAUUCUGCAGAGGCCCAAAAUAUGCUUAUGAAUUUUACCCUAUACUUAGUUUGUAAGACAAAGGAAUUAUUUUGUGUCACUCAUUCAUUUAAUUCUGAAAUU